rnacentral:rRNA from 1 species
UACGUAGGGUGCAAGCGUUAAUCGGAAUUACUGGGCGUAAAGCGUGCGCAGGCGGUUAUGUAAGACAGAUGUGAAAUGCCCGGGCUUAACCUGGGAACUGCAUUUGUGACUGCAUGGCGUAGAGUUUGGCAGAGGGGGGGUAGAAUUCCACGUGUAGCAGUGAAAUGCGUAGAUAUGUGGAGGAACACCGAUGGCGAAGGGCAGCCCCCCUGGGUCAAGACUGACGCUCAUGCACGAAAGGCGUGGGGAGCAAACGAGGAUUAGACGUACCCCGG